UCUGAAUCGCAGGGCUUAAUCUUUGAGCUAACAAGGUAAGCUCCAGCUCAAAGGUCGCUAGAAGCGUGGACAGCUUCUUAGAAAGUGUUUGAGUAUUUGGGCAGUAUCAGUAUUUGCAGCGCUUGAGUAUUUGGGCAGUUUCAGCGGCAGCAAUGGCUUUACGGGACGUGCUCUGGAUAUGAGAUACUGCCAGUGCGUCUAUGUCAAGUUGCAUCCCACACAAGGACAUGUCCCAUCGAACAUGGUACUAUUGUUGCUCCAUCAGGUCUAUUGCCAUCAUCUCUGUAUAAACCGUUUGGUUCUAAAGUGGCACGGAUCGAUCCUGUGGUCAAGGGAAACAAGUCAGGCUCGCACAUCUAUAAACCUAAAUGAAGGCAUAUGGGGAUAAAUUUCGUUGCCCGAUGAAGUAUUUCCCUUAGAUUUUUGGAAGGGAAAGACUGAAGUCAGUAGCCUGACUCCUUUUUAGACGCAGCAAGCAGUCGUGCACGGUCUUUUCUGAGGUACACUGGGACGGGAGCAGUCCGUGUGUUAUUCUAGCUCGGGGUUAAUUCCAUAGUCUCUGGCAAUCCGUGUCUCACGGAAAGACUUCAUCAAGCAACGCAAAACACUCCUAGCUGUCAUAGUCUCCACAAUAUCCUUCACUACAACGACAAUCGAACUUGAAAAAAAA